UACAGAGGGUGCGAGCGUUGUCCGGAAUCACUGGGCGUAAAGGGUGCGUAGGCGGCCUGAUAAGUAGGGGGUGAAAUCCUGUGGCUCAACUGCAGGGCUGCCUCCUAGACUGUCGGGCUUGAGCACGGUAGAGGCAGAUGGAAUUCCCGGUGUAGCGGUGGAAUGCGUAGAGAUCGGGAAGAACAUCGGUGGCGAAGGCGGUCUGCUGGGCCGUUGCUGACGCUGAGGCGCGACAGCGUGGGGAGCAAACAGG
rnacentral:rRNA from 1 species